ensembl:lncRNA
GUGUUGAUGCGAAAGCACAAUUUAUUGUGGCCAGUGAAGGUUGAUUUGAACAGUGAAAGAUCGCUCUACAGACGGGUCGCUCUACAGACAGGUCACUCUACAGACAGGUCACCCUACCGACAGGUCGCCCUACAGACAGGUCGCCCUACAGACAGGUCGCUCUACAGACAGGUCGCUCAACAGACAGGUCGCCCUACCGACAGGUCGCCCUACAGACAGGUCGCCCGACAGACAGGUCGCUCUACAGACAGGUCGCUCUACAGACAGGUCGACCUACAGACAGGUCGCUCUACAGACAGGUCGCCCUACAGACAGGUCGCUCAGACAGACAGAGAGAGAUUUUGUUCUUUAACUAUUUGCACAUAAUGACAUUAGAAAUGAAUUUAUUAUUGUUAAACCCGUCAGAGGAAUCUUAACUGUAAAAACAUUUGAUUGUUUAUUUCACUAACAUAUGUUUCCCAUGCCAAUAAAGCCCCUUAGGGAGAGAGAGGGAGAGAGAGAUAGGGAGAGGGAGAGAGACCGAGAGAGACCGAGAGAGAGGGAGAGAGAG